rnacentral:rRNA from 1 species
UACGGAGGGUGCGAGCGUUGUCCGGAAUCACUGGGCGUAAAGCGCACGCAGGCGGGUCGUUAAGUCAGGGGUGAAACCCCGAGGCUCAACCUCGGAACUGCCUUUGAUACUGGCGAUCUUUGAGUCCGGGAGAGGUGAGUGGAACUCCGAGUGUAGAGGUGAAAUUCGUAGAUAUUCGGAAGAACACCAGUGGCGAAGGCGGCUCACUGGCCCGGUACUGACGCUCAUGUGCGAAAGCGUGGGGAGCAAACAGG